rnacentral:rRNA from 1 species
AGAGUUUGAUCCUGGCUCAGAACGAACGCUGGCGGCAGGCCUAACACAUGCAAGUCGAACGAAGCCUUCGGGCUUAGUGGCGCACGGGUGAGUAACGCGUGGGAACCUGCCCUGGGGUGGGGAACAACCACUGGAAACGGUGGCUAAUACCGCAUACGUCCUACGGGAGAAAGGCUUCGGCCGCCCCUGGAUGGUCCCGCGUCUGAUUAGCUAGUUGGUAGGGUAACGGCCUACCAAGGCGACGAUCAGUAGCUGGUCUGAGAGGAUGAUCAGCCACACUGGGACUGAGACACGGCCCAGACUCCUAUGGGAGGCAGCAGUGGGGAAUAUUGGACAAUGGGGGAAACCCUGAUCCAGCCAUGCCGC